rnacentral:misc_RNA from 1 species
AGCCGCGUAAUUCCAGCUCCAAUAGCGUAUAUUAAAGUUGUUGCAGUUAAAAAGCUCGUAGUUGAAUUUCGGGAUUGACACAUCGGUCGUGCCUUAAGGGGUAUGAACUGGUGUAGUCAAUUUCUCACCUUCUGGAGAACCGCGAUGCCCUUAAUUGGGUGUCACGGGGAACCAGGACCUUUACUUUGAAAAAAUUAGAGUGUUUAAAGCAGGCAUUUUGCUUGAAUACAUUAGCAUGGAAUAAUAAAAUAGGACGGCAUGAUUCUAUUUUGUUGGUUUCUAGGAUCACCGUAAUGAUUAAUAGGGAUAGUUGGGGGCAUUAGUAUUCAAUUGUCAGAGGUGAAAUUCUUGGAUUUAUUGAAGACUAACUACUGCGAAAGCAUUUGCCAAGGAUGUUUUCAUUAAUCAAGAACGAAAGUUAGGGGAUCGAAGACGAUCAGAUACCGUCGUAGUCUUAACCAUAAACUAUGCCGACUAGGAAUCAGACGAUGUUAAUUUUUUAAUGACUCGUUUGGCACCUUACG